UACGUAGGUGGCAAGCGUUGUCCGGAUUUACUGGGCGUAAAGGGCGUGCAGGCGGUCUGUUAAGUGCAGGGUGAAAGCUCCCGGCUCAACUGGGAGAGGUCCUUGCAUACUGGCGGACUUGAGGGGGGUAGAGGAAAGUGGAAUUCCCGGUGUAGCGGUGAAAUGCGUAGAGAUCGGGAGGAACACCAGUGGCGAAGGCGGCUACCUGGACCAGCACUGACACUGAGGCACGAAAGCGUGGGGAGCAAACAGG
rnacentral:rRNA from 1 species